rnacentral:rRNA from 1 species
UGGGGAAUUGUUCACAAUGGGCGCAAGCCUGAUGACGCAACGCCGCGUGGGGGAUGAAGGUCUUCGGAUUGUAAACCCCUGUCGAAUGGGACGAAUGAAUCGUGCACUAACACUGCGCGGAAAUGACGGUACCGUUAAAGGAAGCCACGGCUAACUCUGUGCUAGCAGCCGCGGUAAUACAGAGGUGGCAAGCGUUGUUCGGAAUUACUGGGCGUAAAGGGCGAGUAGGUGGCCAUCUAAGUCAGACGUGAAAUCCCCCGGCUUAACCUGGGAACUGCGUCUGAUACUGGACGGCUUGAGUAUGGGAGAGGGAUGUAGAAUUCCAGGUGUAGCGGUGAAAUGCGUAGAUAUCUGGAGGAACACCGGUGGCGAAGGCGGCAUCCUGGACCGGUAUUGACGCUGAGUGAGCGAAAGCCAGGGG